GUAGAUAGAGGUCGCAUUUUUCAUGAGUAAGAUGACGGAUGUAUCAGGAACAAAGGAACUCAUCAGAAAGGGAAAGAUGCCGAAAGGAUAGAGAAGCCUGAGACUUUACCCUUGGGCAUGGCGUUAAGAGCGGCAUGACUGUCAUCGCAGGAUGGAGAGCUAUCUGA
rnacentral:ncRNA from 1 species